UACGUAGGGUGCAGGCGUUAAUCGGAAUUACUGGGCGUAAAGCGUGCGCAGGCGGUGAUGUAAGACAGUUGUGAAAUCCCCGGGCUCAACCUGGGAACUGCAUCUGUGACUGCAUUGCUGGAGUGCGGCAGAGGGGGAUGGAAUUCCGCGUGUAGCAGUGAAAUGCGUAGAUAUGCGGAGGAACACCGAUGGCGAAGGCAAUCCCCUGGGCCUGCACUGACGCUCAUGCACGAAAGCGUGGGGAGCAAACAGG
rnacentral:rRNA from 1 species